UAAGGUGGCUAUAGUGGCGGGGUCCCACCUCUUCCCAUUCCGAACAGAGCAGUUAAGCCCGCCCGCGCCGAUGGUACUGCGAUUCGUGGGAGAGUAGGUAGCCGCCGUUU
rnacentral:rRNA from 1 species